AUUGAACGCUGGCGGCAGGCCUAACACAUGCAAGUCGAACGAGUGGCGGACGGGUGAGUAAUGUCUGGGAAACUGCCUGAUGGAGGGGGAUAACUACUGGAAACGGUAGCUAAUACCGCAUACCAUCAGAUGUGCCCAGAUGGGAUUAGCGAGUUGGUGGGGUAACGGCUCCCCAAGGCGACGAUCCCUAGCUGGUCUGAGCGGAUGACCAGCCACACCGGAACCGAGAUGCGGUCCAUACUCCAACGGGAGGCAGCAGUGGGGAAUAUUGCAAAAUGGGCGCAAGCCUGAUGCAGCCAUGCCGCGUGUAUGAAGAAGGCCUUGGGGUUGUAAAGUACUUUCAGCGGUGAGGCGUUACCCGCAGAAGAAGCACCGGCUAACUCCGUGCCAGCAGCCGCGGUAAUAC
rnacentral:rRNA from 1 species